rnacentral:sRNA from 1 species
AAAAGUAAAAAUAUUUUGACAGACGGGACACAUAAAUACUAUUUAACCUCAAAAAGUAAAAUUAUUUCGUUAAAAAA